GGGAUUUCUCCUCUGUGGAGUCUUUCUUGCAAGCCUACCUCUUUGGAUGCAGGAUUAGUCUUCAAUCUGAUGCUGCUGAAGUGGAUAUAUGCUUAAUUCAGCCAUUCCUACUGCUGAAGCCAUAAGUCCUGUGCUGGGCUGGGCCAAACGAUCUCCAUCUGCAAAUGUGAAAUUGCAUGGAGAGGAGAGAGAACCAAAAUAGUAAAAACCUGGAACCUUAAUCCAGUAGAUUCACUGAAGGAAAACCUGACCUCGUGAAGGCUACAGAUUCUUUCAAGAGAUCAUAACAGUCCCAGUUCUUCCACCACACCCUGGCUGCCAGCAAAGACAUAGGCAACCACUCCCCAAGGCAGCAUAGCACAGCGGGCAUGAACCAUGCAGAACUGCUUGGCUUAGGGAUCAGCGUUGUUCCUUGGAGAGCAUGACAUCAUCCAUUGAGGGGUAGCUUGUUUGCAUCCAUUUGUCUCCUGGACUCCCCCUAGUAUCUUUAUUUGCUAUUCUUGCAUCAAAAUGAUUACUGAUAACUAUUUCCUUGCCCAGUAAGUUCCACCACCUUACAGAAUAAGCGCCAUGUAUGCAAAAGUACUGGAAGAAGCACAAUCUGCCACCAAUCCUAUGAGUAAAAGUGUUCUUAGACAAUUUAGAAAUGCACAAGGUUAAGGCAUUUCUAAAAGAGAGAGAUAUCCCCACAAGCUUGUAUUGUACUACCGUACAGGUUCAACUUUCUAAUUCUGUAAUUACUUACAGAUAUUUUGUCAAGAACAGCUCUAUUGCAAAUUGAGAUUGCCCAUUUCAGUACUGUCUGUACAGCCAGAUUCUUCAAAGGUGGCAAUGAGGCAAGAAAGGAAUUGUAACUAAACUUUUGGGAAGCUGGCUUACACUUCUUUGUCAGCUCCCAAUUUUUAGCUAACUGCUGUUUCAAAAAUCUUGCAUGUUCAACAUGGAUGAAAAUAACUGAGAUUGGAGGAGCUUGUCAGAAAAGGGUCACUACAAACAAAAAUUCUCCUCUGUCCCUCCACAGUGUAAAUAACAUUUAGAUAUUCAGACAUUUUCACAGCAGUUUCGUUUGGAGGAAAUACGGACUGAACACAGACCGUAAUCUUUCUAAUGGCAUUUUAAAUUUGUUGAACACAUUAGCCAGUUGUCUGACAGUGUUGCAGGAAAGAGAUUAGGUCAGAAUGACCUAGACACAUGUUGAAAAACCAUUACCUUCUCAAGGCAUUCUGCUUAGGAUAAUGAUUUUGAGACCAACAUCACAGAAAUGAACUUAAGAGGGAACACCUGGUCUAGCGAGCUCUACAAAUGAGCAGAAGUGUUGGUGCUCCCCACUUGGUUGCUACAGAGAAAGAGCUCUGAAGAGCUGAACACUGUUUUAGUGGAAAAACUUAACAGUAUGUGUCUGGGAAAGUAAUUGGCCCUCUGGCUCAGGAUAAUGCUGUCAGGCAGUACCAUCUCAGAGCAUCAGUAGGUGGGCUUUUGGACUGAGUGGGAAAUGUUAUGGUUCCAAAGCGCAGUAUCACUUUCAGACUGGGAAGUAGCAGCUACAAGGGAGAUAACUGAGCAGUUAUCUGUGGUGAACCGAUUAAAACAGCAGGCUCUAACACUGUGCCAUGGCCUGAAAACUACUAUUUGGUUCCAUCCCAGCUAUUUGGAAGACAAGGGUGUUCUGAUUAGCCAUGGAAUCUGCUUCUCCUUCCUUUCUUUGACACUAAAUUUUUGAGAGCAGUCCCAAGAAAUCCAGAGCAAAGCACUGAAUGUGUUACAGUAAGUAAAAAUACUUUUCUCGUCCUCUUGAUUCCUAGGCUGUGAGCUAAAUCAUGUUGUCUUUCCUUUGCCAACAACUUCUAACACAUAAAGAACUACUUUUCUGUUGCCAUGUAUGUAAGCUACUUGAAAUCACAAUGUUGACAGUAAUUUGUGUUUGCUUUGAUCAGCCUUAAAGUCACGGUAAUUAAAACUGAUUUUUCUACUCACAUAUUGAAAGAAACGAAGUAUCUUCAGGUGAGGGCAUGUUGUCAAGAAUCCCAGGAAAAUGUUAAUAAAUCCUCAUACACCAGCAUGUGUCUCCCUCAGAGCUGUAUCUUCUGGGCUCAUGCCCUCUCAGCAUGCAUCAACAGUUCUAUCAAUAGGAAAAGAGAGUCUUAUCAGGCUAGAGAGCAAAGCAGCACAUAUUGUUGAUUGGCUUUCACAUGAUAGACAAAGGCACUUACUGUUUUUUUUUUUCUGAAAAGUUCGUUUUCCUGCACAGCUUCAGUUGAGCAUUUUCCAUUAAUGCACAACAGUAUGAAAUAGAAAGAAAUAUGUAAAGAUGGGAAAUGAAAAAUUCUGAAAUGAGAGGAAGAACUAAGGAAGAUAGACUGCAAUUCCUCAGGUGUGGGCUUUAGUCGGGACACUGGAAUCUGUACAAUCUGCCCAACAAGCUCUUUAAUUAUGACCUGAUUUAACGUUAUCUUCAAGUAUCCCCAGCACGCUAUUCCCAUGUGUUUCAAGUUAGUCCCUUAUGAAAUCAGCAGAAAUUGCUUGCCUUUCUUAACAUACUGCCAAUUGUGAUAGUUCUACUGAGUGUUGUCCAUUCAGUCACUCACUGGCUA